rnacentral:lncRNA from 1 species
CUCCUUCGCUCCACCAUGCUCCAUCGCCAUGGAUGGUGUUGAUGCGAUGAAGUGGGGGCUCCUCUGGCCGCAGACCGUAGAGGCCAGUUUGUCUUGGAUCUCAUCUCGAGGAUCUGACGUCAGGAGCUAGACGAACAUGAUCUCCAUCUCGAGGCUAGAGGGUCUCACUAGGAGGAAGUCCUCGCAGACCUCCCCCUCCUCCGCUCCUCCCUCCUCUCCCUCACCUUCGACCACCCCCUCCCCCGCUCAUCCCCUCCCUUCCUCAGUUCGUCCGCAACAAGCUCCAAUCAUGCCUGAUUCGGAUUUGGAUAUGGGCCGGCCCGAUUGGGUUUGGGCCGGUCUUAGGUCCGAGCUUGGGCCUGUAUUUUUUCAAAAAAGUCAGGCCUAAUCCCAGUCCAAAGUCUGAAAAAUUAUUUCAGAUCGGGCUCGAACAGUGAUAG